UUGGAGGGCAAGUCUGGUGCCAGCAGCCGCGGUAAUUCCAGCUCCAAUAGCGUAUAUUAAAGUUGUUGCAGUUAAAAAGCUCGUAGUUGAAUUUCGGGAUCAGAGUGUCGGUCGUGCCUCGGUACGCACUGGUAUUAUUGGUUCCUACCUUCUGAAGAACCGCGAUGUCAUUAAUUUGGUGUCGUGGGGAAUCAGGACUGUUACUUUGAAAAAAUUAGAGUGUUUAAAGCAGGCUUACGCUUGAAUACAUUAGCAUGGAAUAAUGAAAUAGGACGUUUGAUUCUAUUUUGUUGGUUUCUAGGAUUGACGUAAUGAUUAAUAGGGAUAGUUGGGGGCAUUAGUAUUCAAUUGUCAGAGGUGAAAUUCUUGGAUUUAUUGAAGACUAACUACUGCGAAAGCAUUUGCCAAGGAUGUUUUCAUUAAUCAAGAACGAAAGUUAGGGGAUCGAAGACGAUCAGAUACCGUCGUAGUCUUAACCAUAAACUAUGCCGACUAGGGAUCGGAUGAUGUUAAUUUUUUAAUGACUCGUUCGGCGCCUUACGGGAAAC
rnacentral:rRNA from 1 species